GCCGGCGAGUGGCGAACGGGUGAGUAAUACAUCGGAACGUGCCAUUGAGUGGGGGGAUAACGUAGCGAAAGUUACGCUAAUACCGCAUAUUCUGUGAGCAGGAAAGCAGGGGACCGCAAGGCCUUGCGCUCUUUGAGCGGCCGAUGUCAGAUUAGCUAGUUGGUGAGGUAAAGGCUUACCAAGGCGACGAUCUGUAGCGGGGUCUGAGAGGAUGAUCCGCCACACUGGAACUGAGACACGGUCCAGACUCCUACGGGAGGCAGCAGUGGGGAAUUUUGGACAAUGGGCGCAAGCCUGAUCCAGCCAUGCCGCGUGAGUGAAGAAGGCCUUCGGGUUGUAAAGCUCUUUCGGCCGGGAAGAAAUCGCAUGGGUUAAUACCCUGUGUGGAUGACGGUACCGGAAUAAGAAGCACCGGCUAACUACGUG
rnacentral:rRNA from 1 species